GCGGCCUUGGCGGAACUGGUAGACGCGUACGUUUGAGGGGCGUAUGAUUAACUUCGUGUGAGUUCAAGUCUCAUAGGCCGCACCA
rnacentral:tRNA from 1 species